rnacentral:rRNA from 1 species
UACGUAGGUGACAAGCGUUAUCCGGAAUUACUGGGCGUAAAGAGUUCGUAGGCGGUUUGUCGCGUCGUUUGUGAAAACCCGGGGCUCAACUUCGGGCUUGCAGGCGAUACGGGCAGACUUGAGUGUUUCAGGGGAGACUGGAAUUCCUGGUGUAGCGGUGAAAUGCGCAGAUAUCAGGAGGAACACCGGUGGCGAAGGCGGGUCUCUGGGAAACAACUGACGCUGAGGAACGAAAGCGUGGGUAGCAAACAGG